UUUUUUAAGAUUCUACAUAUAAGUGAUAUUAUACAGCAUUUGUCUUUCUCUGUCUGACAUAUUGCACUUGGCAUAAUGCUUCAGGGUCCAUCCAUGUAGUAAAUGGCAAGCUGCCCUUCCAUCUCGUGAGUGAAUGAUAUUCCAUUAUAUAAUAUACACCACAUCUUCCUUAUGUGUUUAUAUGUUGACAUGUGUCUGAUUUCAAGUAGACUAAGCCUGUUGAAAAAAUGUGGAAAACAUGUAACUUCUUCAAAUUUAUUUAAAAUGACUCAAUGCUGUGCUGAGAUGAGACGGAAUUCUGAAACCUACAUUUACACUACGUUUUCUUUCUGUGAACCCAGUAACUUCUGACUGGAGACACACUAAGAACUUAAUUUAUUCAACCUAUUGUUUUGUGUGUCAGUCUCCCAUAGAUACAGGAUGAGAGGAUUUGACCAGCUGGUUUAGCAGAUGGGGACCCGACCACAAGAUGGCAGAGCAUCUCUGCUAAUGUGGAUAUGUGAAAGGGUCCUUUUGGUUGACUCUGUAAGAGUUGGCUAAAGACAGAAGCAGAUGCCUGUGUAGACAGUUUAAGAAACCACUGUGCUUUGGAGGAAAUCAAGAGAUAACCUGGUAACAGAAGCAGCUCUCCUGGCUGGAGACUGCCGGUCCCAAUUGGAAGAAGCAUGAAGACACUCAUUGGACCUUUGUUCCUGUUCUUGUGGCUGCAGCUGGACUGUAUGAGUAGAGGAGAAGAGCCUGGAAAAGGCCUCCAGUUGCUUAUAUAUACUGUUUCAAGUAUGGACAAGAAACAAGAACAAAGGCUCACUGUCCUAUUGAAUAAGAAGGACAAACAUCUCUCCCUGCAAGUCACACGCAC